AUUUGUUUCAUUAGGCGCAAGUCCAACUUUGGUCAUCUGGCCAUUUUCUCUCUUAGAUACAACAGAAGAUGUGACAUUCAUCAGCUCUUCUCUAGUCGAAGUAAGUUCAGCUGCAAUUCUGGAGUAUUCUCUGGCUCGUUCUUGCAAAGUUAUUUCGAGUUUUUCCUUCUCUUCCUUGCAACACUCUAGACUUAGCAGAGCACACUCCAAUUCUGCCUUUAUUCUGUCAUGAUCUUUCACUAUUUCACGCUUAUCAGAAAGCAGAGACUGUAACUCAGAUUCCAAAGACAAGAUUUUGAGAGCUAGGUCUUCAUUUUUCCUCAAGUGCAAAGCUUCAGAUCUCUUCCUGCUUUCGAUUUCAUCUAAUGCAUCCUGUAACUUCAGAAGCAUAUCUUCUCCGUGCUUUUUGGAGAUAGAAACUUGUUGCUUCAACUCUUGGAAUUUUGAUUCAUAUUGCUCUUUUAUAAAGACUAUUCGUAAGGAUUCUUGCAUAGCUACUGGUGGUCCUUCAGAUUCUCUUUUCUCGCGAACCUGGAGACAUUCUGCAUCAGCCUUAUCCUUGAGCUCCUUCAAAUGGAUGGAUAAGUUUUUGAACUCUUCCGUCUUCAAGGCUUGCUCAGAGAGUUUGUGAGUAAGCUCAUUACACUUGUGGGUG
rnacentral:misc_RNA from 1 species